GCGCCGGUGGUGUAAGGCGAACAUCGCUGCCCGGAAGGCAGAAGAUGCGGGUUCGAGUCCCGCCUGGCGCG
rnacentral:tRNA from 1 species